ACCCGCUGAACUUAAGCAUAUCAAUAAGCGGAGGAAAAGAAACCAACAGGGAUUGCCCUAGUAACGGCGAGUAAAGCGGCAACAGCUUAAAUUUGAAAUCUGGCGCAAGCCCGAGUUGUAAUUUGUAGAGGAUGCUUCUGGGUAGCGACCGAUCUAAGUUCCUUGGAACAGGACGUCAUAGAGGGUGAGAAUCCCGUAUGUGACCGGCCCGCGCCCUUUACGUAGCUCCUUCGACGAGUCGAGUUGUUUAGGAAUGCAGCUCUAAAUGGGAGGUAAAUUUCUUCUAAAGCUAAAUACCGGCCAGAGACCGAUAGCGCACAAGUAGAGUGAUCGAAAGAUGAAAAGUACUUUGGAAAGAGAGUUAAAAAGCACGUGAAAUUGUUGAAAGGGAAGCGCCUACAACCAGACUUCGCGGCAGUGUUCCGCCGGUCUCCUGACCGGUUCAUUCUCUGUCGCGAGGCCAUUAUCGUCUAGGCCCGCCGGAUAAGACCUUAGGAAUGUAGCUCACCUUCGGGGGAGUGUUAUAGCCUAUGGUGAUGCGGCGAGGCUCGGGCGAGGUCCGCGCUUCGGCAAGGAUAAUGGCGUAAUGGUUGU
rnacentral:rRNA from 1 species